GAUGAACGCUGACAGAAUGCUUAACACAUGCAAGUCGAUGGGGAAGUGGUGCUUGCACCAUGGUAACCAUGGCGGACGGGUGAGUAACGCGUAAGGAACUUGCCUGCGGGACUGGGAUAACAGCAGGAAACUGCUGAUAAUACCGGAUAAGGUCAUUAAGCUGCAUAGCUUAGUGAUGAAAGGAGACGCCUGCGGAGAGCCUUGCGUCCUAUUAGCUAGUUGGAGGGGUAACGGCCCACCAAGGCGAAGAUAGGUAGCCGGCCUGAGAGGGUGGACGGCCACAAGGGGACUGAGAUACGGCCCUUACUCCUACGGGGGGCAGCAGUGGGGAAUAUUGGACAAUGGGGGCAACCCUGAUCCAGCAAUUCUGUGUGCACGAAGACGGUUUUCGGAUUGUAAAGUGCUUUCAGCAGGGAAGAAGGAAGUGACGGUACCUGCAGAAGAAGCGACGGCUAAAUACGUG
rnacentral:rRNA from 1 species